AUGCUUUUUUUCCCCAUCCAGUGUCCUAUAACUUUUGAGGAGGUGGCUGUGGAUUUCACCCAGGAGGAGUGGGGGCUGCUGGAUCCUGACCAGAGAGCCCUCCACCAGGAGGUCAUGGAGGAGAACUGGAAUGUCGUGGCUUCUCUUAUGCUGCUUGCUGAGAAUGCCUGCACUGAUGAUGAUGAUUAUAAGGUUUCUGAAUCGGAGCAGGGGCCCAACUCACCCAGUCACUUCACAAACAUUAAGAGGGAGCUGGGAUACUCUGCUGAGCAGCCCAGUUUUUCCGACGAGGAGCUGAACAGAAUGAGAAGAGAAGAGGCCCAAGUGUGUGAGGGUAAGGAAGAUGCUCCCCUAGUACAUGUGCAAAGUGCAGAUCCCAAAUAAAUGCCCGCUGGAGUUUAUAGUACUAUAGUGUCAUAUUAUAGUAUAAUAACCAUUAAGAUAUAAGCCUUAUAGUGCAAACUUGAACAGUGUGAUGUGAACAGAGAGGAAGAGACCUUGAGACUACCUGCUCUUUAAAAUGGAGACUCUGCGAUUACAGCAAAUACCUGUAUAUAAGUCAUGAACGGUAGCAAGCAGCUUUGUGGAUGAAUCUUGAUUUUAAGUGAGCAGGGAGCCCAAGGACAGUGCUGAGAAAUCUGCAUAUGAUCAGAGACACUGAGAACAUUUUUUUUCUUUAGAAUGCUUGAUCACUUACUCACAGUGACAACACUGUGGUUUUGCAAUUGAUUUGACAUUAUUGGCCACUCAACACAUAAUCCUUCCUCUCCCAUCCUGAUGCAAGUGCAAACUGAUUUGAUUCUUGAAUUCAGUUAAAGGUAAAGGUUCCCCUUGACAUUUUCAGUCCAGUCGUGUCCCACUUUAGGGGGCAGUGCUCAUCCCUCUUUUUAACAGCCUCGUGGCGCAGUGGUUAAAAUGCUGUACUGCAGCUAAUACUGUGCUCACGACCUGGGGUUCAAAUCCCAGGUAGCUGGCUCAAGGUAGACUCAGCCUUCCAUCCUUCCGAGGUCGGUAAAAUGAGUACCCAGCUUGCUGGGGGGCAAUGUGUAGCCUGUAUAAUUAAACUGUAAACCGCCCGGAGAAUGCUUGUAGUGCUAUGGGGCGGUAUAUAAGUCAAAUAAAUAAAUAAAUAAAUAAUAAGCCA
rnacentral:lncRNA from 1 species